ensembl:misc_RNA Metazoa_SRP Metazoan signal recognition particle RNA
GCUGGGCGUGGUGGCUCACGCCUGUAAUCCCAGCACUUUGGGAGGCUGAGGCAAGUGGAUCACAUGAGGCCAGGAGUUUGAGACCAGCCUGGCCAACAUGGUGAAACCUUGUCUCUA